UACGGGGGGGGCAAGCGUUGUUCGGAAUUACUGGGAGUAAAGGGCUCGUAGGCGGCCAACUAAGUCAGACGUGAAAUCCCCCGGCUUAACCGGGGAACUGCGUCUGAUACUGGAUGGCUUGAGGUUGGGAGAGGGAUGCGGAAUUCCAGGUGUAGCGGUGAAAUGCGUAGAUAUCUGGAGGAACACCGGUGGCGAAGGCGGCAUCCUGGACCAAUUCUGACGCUGAGGAGCGAAAGCCAGGGGAGCAAACGGG
rnacentral:rRNA from 1 species